GGGGAGGUGCGGCGCGAGGGCGCGGGGCGGGGCGACUGGAGUAGGGCAGCCAAUGGAAGGUAUGGGCGGCUUAGGGGCGAGGCAGCACGCGGGCUAGACCCCGCCCCCUCAUCUGAAUCCCACUUCUCGGGCUGGUUUCUGGUCCCUGACUCCUCACUCGGGUCCCGCCCCCUAGCGCUGUCCCCGCCCCUCGCCCCGCCCCGUGUGAGGUGCGCGCUCCCCGUCUGCUUGGGUCGCGCCCUCUCUCUGGGGAUGUACUUGUGGGUCCCAGCCCACGUUACUGCACCCCAAACGGGUCAGGAGACCACGGGCUGAACUCAGGCCUGACCCUUGUUGGAGCCCUGCUUACUGACUCCGAAGCUCAGCAUCUUUGGCUUAUAAUUAUCCUGCAGGGUUAUUAUCAACACCACAUGAGACCGACGGGAAAGCUUUUGAAUACUACAAGCUCUGUACAGUGAACAGAAAGGAUUAUUGUUCUGUUUCUCCCAGGAACAAGAUACUUGCAGCCUGCAGACUACAGGCUUGGAAACAGAGCUUUUCCGUCCUGCUUCCCCUUCCCGCCCCUGGCAAACUGUGCCCUCUCUUUCUCUCCCCCACAAAGCUUUUCCUGGCAGUACCACUUCUAUUGUUUAGUUUUUGCAGUAUUGUGCAAGGAUUCACAGGCAAGUCGAGGAACUUGGAUGGAAAUUAGUUCCUUUUUCUACCUCCUGUAGCAAGAUCAAGUCAUCCAUACCCUUUUCUACUUUUUCUGUUUGGCUCCUGCUAGCAUAGGACCUGCUGGCAUUUAUGAAAUGGUUUUCCAACUGUCAGUGGUGUUCAACCUGCUAUGACACUUGGCUUAUGGCCCUGAGGUGCUGUUCCCACCCGUGGGAUCUGGGGGAUCCUCAUACUCUGAGCAGCACAGAAGGGCUAAGUGUCUGUCGUAGUCAGAGAUUGCAAAAAGAACAACUGCAUACAGGACACAGAAUUUAUAUUAUUUUAUGAUGUUCACCCAGAGUUAAAUACAAGAAAGUGCGGGAAAUCUGUCCACAGCACUAAAGACCUAGAAAAUCCAGCCAAGGACCACAUCCCACAGCAGUGUCCUGUAUGAGUCCAGCUAAAGACCUAGAGUCCCUGACAAUACCCCACCACCACCAUCACGAGUCUAACUGGAGGCCUAGAGUCCACGACAAGGACUCAUGCAAGUCUGUUUUAAGGAUCGCUGCUGGAAAGAUCCAAAGUCAGGUCAGCGGUAGAAUCUAGAAAAUCUACCACAAUGUCCAUCACUGGUGUCAGUGUGGAAGCUGUUGACUAGUGGAACAUGCCGGCCGUCAAGAUAAAAUUAGGCCUCUCUGGAGCCAUCACUUCCCAAACAUCUCAGGUCUUAUUUCUGUGGCAGACAGAAACGAUCCAGAAAGAAUGCAGGGAGGAACAAACGUGUGCAGGAUAUGCUUCAGGGAGAGGAGCUUCAAGGUGCCAUGCUGCUGCUUUCGGUGGACAGAUGAGAUCUGGCGUAGGCUGUGGCCAUUGGUGACAGAAUGUGGUACUCUCCAGCCACUCGUGCUGCACAAGGUGUUCCUGUGUAAGAAGCCCCAGCCCGGCUGUUAAGGAGCUUUGAAACAUUAAAAAAGGGUCUUGCUCUUGAGCUCAUUAUGCAGCCCAGGCUGAUCUUGAACUCAGCAAUCUUCCUGCCUCAGCCUCCUGAGUGCUAGGAUUACAGGUUUGAGGCUGCAAAAGGCGAAGACCCACCGCUUCACAUGCUCGUAGGCGGGGCUUUUCAGAGGUGGCUGGAUCUAGAGUGUGUGACGCUGGGAUGGAUUCAUAAUGCUGUGCUACGUCAAGGCUGCUAAGAUUAAGUAGCCUGGGUAAGAUAUAAGGGAUAGAAAGCCCUGUGGUAGUCCCUCGUGGGUUUGCUACCUUCUGCCCACCAUGGACUGUUUCUCCUCUGUGAUGCUGCCCUGCCUUGGAGCCAGCCUAUUUAGACUAAAACCUCUACAAACUGUGAGCUAAAUAAACCUUUCCUCCUUUGGGCACUGGGUAUUUUGUCUCAGGAAUGAAAGUAAAAGUAACUAAGACAGGCUUCGUGACUUUAGAGUUAGCAAAGAUUUCUUAGACAAUUCAAAAAGCAUGAGCAAUAAAAGAAAAACAGAUAAACUGGACUUCACCAAAAUUACAGACUUUCAUGUUUUAAGGGUUGUUAUCAACUGAGUAAAAAGGCAGACUGGAGAGUGGGAUAAAAAUAUUUGCAAAUCACAUCUCUGCUGAGGGAUUUAUUUCAGAAUAUAUAAAGAACUCCUACAAUUCAACAACAGAAAUAACCCAAUUAAAAUGUGAGCAAAGGACUGGAAUAGCUAUUUCUCCCAAGAAAAUGUGGGAUGUGCAAAUUCCCAAUAAUCACACAAAAAGAGCUCAACAAAAUGCAGAUCAGGAAAUGCAGAUCAAAACCACUAAGAGGUAGCAUUUCGCAGACAUUAGGAACCCGCUCUAAAAAAACCAUAUACAUGCAAGUGUUGGCAAAGACAUCAAGAAGUAGGAACACUUGUGGGCUGCUGAUGAAGCUGCGGAAUGCUGUAGCUGUUGUGGAACAUAGUUUGGCAAUUUCUUAAAAGAUGAAAUAUAAAAUUACCAUAAGACCCAGCUGUUACCAGUUUAGAUUAGCAAAGUGAAACCAAAGACUUGAACGGAUACUUAUAUAUCUCUGUUCAUAGAGCAUUAUUUACAGUAGCCCAAAGGAGGAAAUGACCUAGUGUUCUUCAGUGGAUGGAUGGAUAAAUAGGAGCUAGGAUGUAUAUUCUGUGGAACAGUGGCCCCCCAAAGAAGGAAAAUCCUAACACCUGCUACAGCAUAGAUCAACUUCCAGACCUAUGCUAAGUGAAGCAAGUCAAUCGCAGACACAAAUACCACAUGGUUUUAAAGUGGACCCUGGGCUUAUCUACUUAAUUUGUUCAUAAGGACUUGUUGUAACUCAAGUUGGUUGUAAGUUAAGACAAUUUUUCCCAUGAGAAAUAAUGGAAAUGCUCACAAUCUAUUCUGAACCACCCAACACACCCCGUAACUAACAUUUUCAUAAUAAAAAAGGAUGGUUUAAUGUGCAUAAUUGACCAGAAACCGGUACUUUUUCUAGUGUAUUCACCCAAAAAGUUAUAAAAUGUGCCUGUUUCACCAGAACCAACAGUGUCAUGUUGUGGGCACCAUUUGAGCAGACACCCGUGGAAGGUGGUUACUGUGUGGCAGGAGGUUCCCUUCUGUUGAAUUGGAACUUGCAGAGCAAUCCCACUCACAGCCCCCUCUCCACACCUGUCACCUCUUGUUUUGGUCCAGAUGAGAUUGGCAAAUGCGUCCUGGGAACAGAGUUGAGGCCAUCUCAUUCUCCCAGGAUUCAUGAGGCUCUGUCUUCUCUCAAAGCUGAGUUAUCAAUUGCUUUGUCUGGCUUCUGUUCCUACACUCUCCCCCCAUCCCGCAGUUUCUAAAGAUCAACCCCACCCCAGUCACGUGUACAAAGCUAGCCUCUCCCCUUCGUUCCAAUGCCCGGCACUUUGGAUGUGAGUUCAGCUGGGUCAGUGUAUGUCUGAAAUCCUGGAAAUAAAUCCUCCUCUUCCCUCA